UAUGAAAUUACAUUAGAUUAUGGUAUUAAACUAACUAGGUGAACUUAGAAAAAUCACCAGGAUUUCACGUGAAUAUGCUUUCUCUCUGGUUUUCAGAACUAUUAGGGGAACAAAUCUUUUGCAAAGCAGCACGAAGGCAGCCUGUAAUCUACCAGAGACAUACAGAAUUGCAACAAGGUCAAAGGGCACCACUUUAUUUGGCUGCUACAAUAUCAACAUCAAUUUCGAGUUACAACCCAGAAACAAAACAGAGUUUUGAAAAGCAGCAGUGCCUGUCAUCCAAAUUGCAUUUCCUGUUUCACACGCGAACAGGAAGGAAAAGAAACUGCCACUGGCCCCCUACUGAAAGAGACUCUCACUGUGGAAAUGUACGUGCAUACUAACUUCCAUUAUUGCAAGGAGUCAGCAAAUUCAUUCCAAUAAGAACUUAUUAUAUUAAUAACCAUUUACAUUUAUUGAGCACUUACAAUGUGCCAGUGUUCUUAAAUAUCCUAAACAUAUACUAACUUUUUCCCAUUUUCUGGAAGGCACACUGAGGCAUAAAGAGAACAUCAUUUUCUGAAGAUGACAAUGAUUUUCACAGGAAAGACAAACGAGAUGAAAGAUGAAUGUGCAAGGAAGACUUAUUUUCACUAUUCAUGCUUUUCAUUAUGAAAUAUUAAAAAAAAACCACUGUGCACAUGCACAGCCAUGAUCAGAAACUAUGAACCUAGAGAGAUGCUGUUGGAUCUCUUUAAAACACACCAUUGUGCAGAAUCACCAGGAGGGUCUCUGGCAGCCUAGUCAGCCUGCAUUCCUAGAGGAGACAGUGAGCUAUGGAGUCUGACAGCCCAUGGUCUCAAUGUGCUCUGCCCACCCAAUGUGAAAGUGGUUAGUAGGAGGUGGAGCUGGGCUUCAAACCCAGGUAUGCUGGCUUCAGAAAUCACUGUCUAAACCAACCCGGACACCCCUAUUCUUUUUGUUGCCUACAGCCCUGGCAGGGUCUCCUGGCUUCCCCUGGUAUAGUAAUUUUCUAUAACGGCUAUAACAAAUUAUCACAAACCUGGUGGAGCAGUUACCAUCUUAUGGUUCUGAAAGUCAGAAGUCUCAGGUGGGCUUCCAGGGCUACAUUCCUCUUGGAUGCUCUGGGGGAAAAGCUGUUUCCUUGCCUUUUCUAUCUUCUAGAGCAGGAGUCCCCAGUCCCUGAACCACGCACCGGUACUGGUGCAAGGCCCAUUAGGAAUGGGGUAGCACAGCAGGAGGUGAGUGGCAGGCGAGUCAGUGAAGCUUCAUCUGUAUUUACAGCUGCUCCCCAUCACUCACAUUACCACCUGAGCUUCACCACCUGUCAGAUCAGCAACAACAUUAUAUUCUCACAGGAGCGCAAACCCCAUUGUGAACUGUGUAUGAGAGGGAUCUAGGUUGCACACUCCUUAUGAGCAUCUAAUGCCCGAUGAUCUGUCCUGGCUCUGAUCACCCCAGAGGGGAUGGUCUAGUAGCAGGAAAAUAAGUUCAGGGCUCCC
rnacentral:lncRNA from 10 species